rnacentral:rRNA from 1 species
UACAGAGGUCCCAAGCGUUGUUCGGAAUUACUGGGCGUAAAGCGCGUGUAGGCGGCCUUCUAAGUCUGGUGUGAAAGCCCGGGGCUCAACCCCGGAAGUGCAUUGGAUACUGGGAGGCUGGAGUACCGGAGAGGAGGGUGGAAUUCCUGGUGUAGCGGUGAAAUGCGUAGAGAUCCGGAGGAACACCAGUGGUGCAAACGGCGCCCUGGGUCCGAACUGACGCUGAUGCACGAAAGCGUGGGGAGCGAACGGG